rnacentral:rRNA from 1 species
UGGGUGAUCUGCCCUGCACUUCGGGAUAAGCCUGGGAAACUGGGUCUAAUACCGGAUAUGACCUUGGGGAUGCAUGUCCUUUGGUGGAAAGCUUUUGCGGUGUGGGAUGGGCCCGCGGCCUAUCAGCUUGUUGGUGGGGGUUAAGGCCUACCAAGGCGACGACGGGUAGCCGGCCUGAGAGGGUGAUCGGCCACAUUGGAACUGAGACACGGUCCAGACUCCUACGGGAGGCAG